rnacentral:rRNA from 1 species
GACGAACGCUGGCGGCGUGCUUAACACAUGCAAGUCGAACGGAAAGGCCCUGCUUUUGUGGGGUGCUCGAGUGGCGAACGGGUGUGUAACACGUGAGUAACCUGCCCUUGACUUUGGGAUAACUUCAGGAAACUGGGGCUCAUACCGGAUAGGAGCUCCUUCUGCAUGGUGGGGGUUAGAAAGAUUCGGCGGUUGGGGAUGGACUCGCGGCUUAUCAGCUUGUUGGUGGGGUAGUGGCUUACCAAGGCUUUGACGGGUAGCCGGCCUGAGAGGGUGACCGGCCACAUUGGGACUGAGAUACGGCCCAGACUCCUACGGGAGGCAGCAGUGGGGGAUAUUGCACAAUGGGCGGAAGCCUGAUGCAGCAACGCCGCGUGCGGGAUGACGGCCUUCGGGUUGUAACCCGCUUUCGCCUGUGACGAAGCGUGAGUGACGGUAAUGGGUAAAGAAGCACCGGCUAACUACGUG